AUGUUGCAUUGUAUUGCAGAUGCAGGACAGAUUGCAUUGCAAAUACUGGAUGCAUUGCAUUGCAUUGCAGGUGCAGAGCAGGUUGCAUUGCAUUGCAGAUUGCAAGCAGAUUGCAUUGCAAAGACCACCCAGAUUGCAUUGCAUUGCAGAUGCAGAACACAAUGCAUUGCAUUGAAGAUGCAGAACAGAUUGCAUUGCAGAUUGCGAGCAGAUUGCAUUGCAAAGACUGAGCAGGUUGCAUUGCAUUGCAGGUGCAGAGCAGAUUGCAUUGCAAAUACUGAACGCGUUGCAUUGCAUUGCAGGUGCAGAGCAGGUUGCAUUGCAAUGCAAAUAGCAAACACGUUGCAUUGCAUUGCAGAUUGCAAGCAGAUUGCAUUGCAAAGACUGAGCAGGUUGCAUUGCAUUGCAGAUGCAGGACAGAUUGCAUUGCAAAUACUGAAUGUAUUGCAUUGCAUUGCACAAGCAGAAAACGUUGCAUUGCAAAUACUGAACACAUUGCAUUGCAUUACAGAUUGCGAGCAGAUUGCAUUGCAAAUACUGAACGCGUUGCAUUGCAUUGCAGGUGCAGAGCAGAGUGCAUUGCAAAUACUGAGAGCUUUGCAUUGCAUUGCAGGUGCAGAGCGGGUUGCAUUGCAUUGCACAAGCAGAACAGAUUGCAUUGCAUUGCAGAUUGCAAGCAGAUUGCAAAUACAGAGCACAUUGCAUUGCAUUGCACAUGCAGAACACAUUGCAUUGCAGAUUGCGAGCAGAUUGCAUUGCAAAGACUGAGUGCGUUACAUUGCAUUGCAGAUGCAGAACACAUUGCAUUGCAAACAGUGAAUGCAUUGCAUCGCAUUGCACAGGCAGAACGGAUUGCAUUGCAAAGACUGAACAGAUUGGAUUACAUUGCAGAUGAAGAACAGAUCACAUUGCAAAUACUGAGCACAUUGCGUUGCAUUGCAGAUGCAGAACAGAUUGUAUUGCAAAUACUGAGCAUGUUGCAUUGCAUUGCACAUGCAGAACAGAUUGCAUUGCAAAUACUGAAUGCAUUGCAUUGCAAAUACUGCCUAGAUAGCAUUGUGUUGCAAAUACUGAACAGAUUGCAUUGCAUUGUAGACACAAAUUGCAUUGCACUGCAAAUACUGCCCAGAUUGCAUCGCAUUGCAGACGCAGAUUGCAUUGCAUUGCAGAUGCAGAU
rnacentral:lncRNA from 1 species